GGAAAAUCCACAUCAGGGCAGGGAGACCUAUGGGGACCUAUAGAGGCCUAUAGGGAAAUCCCUGUCACGUGCAGGGAGACCUAAGGGGAAGUUACGUGCAAGGGAGGCCUAUAAAUAUGUCGUCCUGACACAGAGCGAGACUGCUCUUCCUGGUCAGGGGGAUGGCCCUGGCGCUGCCAGGAGUAAAGCAUUUUUCAUGCUUUUUGAGAUUGGACCAAAAUCGACGAAAAUGAAUUUCAAGAGUCUUCGAAUUAGACUUUGUCAAAUUUUAAGCUUCGAGGAAGGCAGAGGGGACAGCCGCUUCUGGCAGCAAGGGGGAGACGCCAAUAUUCCGGUGUUGGCUAAUCUCCUCAUCGGCAGACCUUUCCUCUUUUUAAACAAAAUUCGGAUUUUGAAACAAAGGAGAACUGAUCCCUCGACUUGUUCAACCAAAUAGCAUUUUAGACCUUUUGUCUCCUCUUAU